rnacentral:rRNA from 1 species
CGCCGCGUGCAGGAAGAAGGUCUUCGGAUUGUAAACUGCUGUGGUAAGGGAAAAAUGCCAUGUAGAGUGGAAAGCUACAUGGAGGGAUGGUACUUUACUACAAAGCCCCGGCUAACUACGUGCCAGCAGCCAA